rnacentral:tRNA from 1 species
GGUGGCUCAGUGAUAGAGUACUUGCCUUGCAUGCAUGAGGACCUGGGUUCAAUUCCUCAGCACCA